rnacentral:rRNA from 1 species
UACGUAGGGUGCAAGCGUUUGUCCGGAAUUAUUGGGCGUAAAGAGCUCGUAGGCGGUUUGUCGCGUCGGCUGUGAAACUCGGGGCUCAACCCCGAGCCUGCAGUCGAUACGGGCAGACUAGAGUGCUGUAGGGGGAGACUGGAAUUCCUGGUGUAGCGGUGAAAUGCGCAGAUAUCAGGAGGAACACCGGUGGCGAAGGCGGG